rnacentral:rRNA from 1 species
AGUGAACGCUGGCGGUAGGCCUAACACAUGCAAGUCGAGCGGCAGCACAGGAGAGCUUGCUCUCUGGGUGGCGAGUGGCGGACGGGUGAGGAAUACAUCGGAAUCUACUUUUUCGUGGGGGAUAACGUAGGGAAACUUACGCUAAUACCGCAUACGACCUACGGGUGAAAGCAGGGGAUCUUCGGACCUUGCGCGAUUGAAUGAGCCGAUGUCGGAUUAGCUAGUUGGCGGGGUAAAGGCCCACCAAGGCGACGAUCCGUAGCUGGUCUGAGAGGAUGAUUAGCCACACUGGAACUGAGACACGGUCCAGACUCCUACGGGAGGCAGCAGUGGGGAAUAUUGGACAAUGGGCGCAAGCCUGAUCCAGCCAUACCGCGUGGGUGAAGAAGGCCUUCGGGUUGUAAAGCCCUUUUGUUGGGAAAGAAGUCCAGCUGGUUAAUACCCGGUUGGGAUGACGGUACCCAAAGAAUAAGGACCGGCUAACUUCGUGCCAGCAGCCGCCGUAA